rnacentral:rRNA from 1 species
GAUGAACGCUGGCGGCGUGCCUAAUACAUACAAGUCGAGCGAAUGGAUUAAGAGCUUGCUCUUAUGAAGUUAGCGGCGGACGGGUGAGUAACACGUGGGUAACCUGCCCAUAAGACUGGGAUAACUCCGGGAAACCGGGGCUAAUACCGGAUAACAUUUUGAACCGCAUGGUUCGAAAUUGAAAGGCGGCUUCGGCUGUCACUUAUGGAUGGACCCGCGUCGCAUUAGCUAGUUGGUGAGGUAACGGCUCACCAAGGCAACGAUGCGUAGCCGACCGGAGAGGGUGAUCGGCCACACUGGGACUGCGACACGGCCCAGACUCCUACGGGAGGCAGCAGUAGGGAAUCUUCCGCAAUGGACGAAAGUCUGACGGAGCAACGCCGCGUGAGUGAUGAAGGCUUUCGGGUCGUAAAACUCUGUUGUUAGGGAAGAACAAGUGCUAGUUGAAUAAGCUGGCACCUUGACGGUACCUAACCAGAAAGCCACGGCUAACUACGUGCCAGCCGCCGCCGUAA